GGCUGGUUAGCUUAGUCGGUUAGAGCAUGGUGCUCUUAACAACAAGGUUGUGGGUUCGAUCCCCACAUGGGUUA